GAAAUCCUCAAAGUCAAUUCUUUUGUUUAUUCAAUUGGGUUAACUUUGGUAUUGGAGGUCUUGCAGGUUCACACUUGCUCCUCUUUGUGCAUUAGCUGGAUCUCAGUGUUAUGCUUGGUUCCACUCAGCGUGAUAAAUUAUCUAUCGCUGAGGACACUUUUGUAAAAAUGUGGCCAAGGUAAAUGCAGAUGAACCGCUUCUAAUAGUCCAUUCACUUGGACAAUAUUUUUAUG
rnacentral:misc_RNA from 1 species